rnacentral:tRNA from 1 species
UCCCUCGUGGUCUAGUCGGUAAGACGCUUGAUUCUGGAUCAAGAGUGCUGGGUUCGAAUCCUGGCGAGGGAG